rnacentral:rRNA from 1 species
UACGUAGGGUGCAAGCGUUAAUCGGAAUUACUGGGCGUAAAGCGUGCGCAGGCGGUUAUGUAAGACAGAUGUGAAAUCCCCGGGCUUAACCUGGGAACUGCAUUUGUGACUGCAUGGCUGGAGUGCGGCAGAGGGGGAUGGAAUUCCGCGUGUAGCAGUGAAAUGCGUAGAUAUGCGGAGGGACACCGAUGGCGAAGGCAAUCCCCUGGGCCUGCACUGACGCUCAUGCACGAAAGCGUGGGGAGCAAACAGG